rnacentral:lncRNA from 1 species
AGCCGGUAGCAGAGGAAUAAUCUUUCUAUACUAAUCAAAGUGACCAUCUAGUAAUAGUAUCCGAUGUUCGGAUAGAUCAAAAGAUUACAAAGCAAGAUUCAAGAACCUAUUGGCAUAUGGUUACCGUAUAAUUCAUCCCUUUGACCCAAAUACUCAAGGUGACCUAGGGUUUAACUGUCAACCCUGAAAAGAUCAUCCACAUUAUAUUUUAACUUUCCAAAUCUAUCAUAUGGAUUAUCCUGAUCGAGGUUUUACUGAAUUAAAACACACUGAUGCAAUAGCUCCUACUUAUUCAAAGAGGUC